rnacentral:tRNA from 1 species
GGGCCAGUAGUCUAGUGGAUAAGGCACCUGCCUCCGGAGCAGGCUAUCGUAGGUUCAAUUCCUACCUGGCCCG